rnacentral:misc_RNA from 1 species
CGGCCGAGCGGGACGCCUGCGCCGCGGCUCCCCGAUAGCACUGUUUACACCGGGAGGCACCGCCAUUGCCAGCGUGCCGCUGCCAUACACUCUCGCGUCACUGAUACAUGCGGCAUAAUACUUUGGUGAAUGUGUAUAUAGAACAACCAGUAAAAUGCUGGCCCUUGCGAAGAGUGUAAAGGAGGAGGAUUACAACCCUGAAGAAGAAGGAGAAGUAGGUGAGGAUUUUGAUAUCACGGGUAUGCUGGAGAUGAUGCCGCCGCCCCAGCCUCCUGAGACAGCUGAGAAUUUUCUUGUGGGAGAUGACAUGAGGGCAUUGAAACUCAUAUACCGACUGUCAAAAAAGCGGACUCGCAGAAAGAAGCAAAAGACAGGCCAUGCUUCAAGUGUGCAAAAGGGAGACUGUGAUUCAACUGCACAGAAUCUGCUCCCUGAUUCAAGAAAUGGGGAAAUUGGACGGCAGAAUGGCCUUGGUCCACGGGAUGGCAGUACUGGUGGGAUGUCCAAGGAAGAAAAUGGAGAAAGUGGCCAGACACACUCACUCAAGCGCAGCUCUUCCCAUGACGUUGAAGUGGGUGCAGAUCAAAACGAAAUGGCAGCUAAACGACGAAAAACUGGACCUCCUCAACCAAAGAAUCCCAUCAGCACACUGAAUGAGUUACGACCUGGCUUGGUGUACAAAACCAUGGCCAUGGAUGGACCAUCCCACGCUCCAGUCUUUACUGUAACUGUAGAGCUCAAUGGACAGGUUUAUGAAGGCACUGGUCGCAGCAAGAAGCUAGCCAAACAUGCAGCAGCAGAGGCCACUUUAAGGUCUUUCCUGCAGUUCCGUAAUGCCUCCGACGCUGCUGAGGCCUUGGGCACCAACAUAACCUCACCCCAGGACUUCACCAGUGAUGUCUCAGAGGCUGGGUUUGGUGUGGGCUCCUCCACUGGUGACUCGACUCCGACAAAAUCGGCAGCAGCUGCUGGUGCAGAUUCUAGCAACAGAGUGGCCAACACCAAUGCUCCCCAUGUGACAUCAGUCCCACCUGGACCAUCACAAACUUCCAAGAAUCCCAUUAUGCUUUUGAAUGAAUUACGACAAGGAGUUGAGUACACUUUAAGGCAAGAGUCUGGGGAGCCGCAUGCAAAGACCUUCACUUUCCAAGUCACUGUGGAUGGACAGCUUUUUGAGGGGACAGGUAACAGUAAAAAGUUUGCCAAAGCUGCAGCAGCACGCCAAGCCCUGAGCAAGCUGUAUGGCUUGAUUGCCACACCACCAUCUGCUGUUCUACACCACACGCCCAUUUCCAACAUGCCCAACAUUCACAUGCCCCAGACACUUGCUGACAAAGUUGCAAAACUAGUUUGUGAGAAGUUCUCAGAACUAACAUCUGGUAAUCCAACCCUUGCCAAACGAAAGGUGCUUGCAGGUAUUGUCAUGACAAAUGAAAAUGACUUGGAAGAUAUGAAGGUUAUCGGUGUGGCAACAGGAACAAAGUGCAUCAAUGGCGAACAUCUCAGUCUUCAGGGACAGUGCAUUAAUGACUGUCAUGCUGAGAUCAUGGCACGUAGGUGUCUCCUCCACUUCCUGUACAGUCAACUGGAGAAAAUGGUGCAGUGGAGAAAGAAUGGAGGACUCUUGAACACAAUCUUUGAAGAGCUUGAAGAUCAGAAAGGGUUUAGAAUACAACCACAAUACAAGUUUCACCUUUACAUCAACACUGCCCCAUGUGGUGAUGCAAGAAUUUUUGCUCCACAUGAAGAGGAAGCUGACCGCACAGACAGGCAUCCUAAUAGGCAGAGUCGUGGGUUAUUGCGAACCAAAAUAGAGUCAGGAGAAGGAACAAUUCCAAUUAAGGCUGGAGCAGAUAACAUCCAGACCUGGGAUGGAGUGCUGCAAGGGGAACGCCUUCGCACAAUGUCCUGUUCAGACAAGAUAGCCAAAUGGAAUGUCGUUGGUCUGCAAGGGGCACUCCUGUCACACUUCCUUCAACCUGUCUACCUUGAAUCUAUUGUUUUAGGUUCAUUAUUUAGUGCUAUUCACAUGUAUAGAGCUGUUUCUGGCAGAAUAGAACAGACUGUCCAGGGGCUGCCAUCUCCAUUCAGAUUAAAUCAACCAAAGAUGAACCAAGGGAGCUCGACGGAGUCUCGACAGCCCCAGAAAGCCCCCACUAUAUCCGUUAAUUGGGAUUGUGAGGGAGAAAGUUUAGAAGUUCUCAAUGCCAUGACUGGUCGUCAGGAAGGGGAAAAUUACUCAAGACUGUGUAAAAGGAACCUAUUGACAAGAUUCUGUGAAUUGUUAGAUCAUCUACCAACUGUAACAGAGGUGGAUGCAGGAGCAGUCAAGUGUCUUUCAUAUGGUGAAAUUAAGGCAUUGGCUGCAGACUACCAAACAAGUAAGAGGGCAGUUGAAACAGCCUUUGCUCGUGCUGGCCUUGGACAGUGGAUUAGCAAACCAAUGGAAGAAGAUAGUUUCUAUAUAUGAUACUAAGACAACAGCGUCUACUUUUCAUUUUCACUUGGAGGUGCUGAAUGAUGCUCCACCUGAAUAAGGAAUGGAUGCGUAGGACAUUCCUCCCUCCCACCACUCACCACUCCAUGUCCUCUCAGGAUCUACGCCCAUGACAGCCCUGCAUAAUUUAUGUACUUUACUCAAUGUGCCAAAGCUAUUAUACUUUGUGUUGAAGAUUUGCAUUGUUGUCAAUAGAAGUGUAUAAGAA